UCACUGCUUGCGCAGGCAGUCUUACUAGAUACCCGGGUAGUCCUGGCCGUAAACGGUGCGAACUAGGUGUGGGGGCUGUCAUGGCCUCCGUGCCGAAGCUAACGCAUUAAGUUCGCCGCCUGGGGAGUACGGCCGCAAGGCUAAAACUCAAAGGAAUUGACGGGGGCCUGCACAAGCGGCGGAGCAUGUGGAUUAAUUCGAUGCAACGCGAAGAACCUUACCUGGGUUUGACAUGCACAGGACGCCGGCAGAGAUGUCGGUUCCCUUGUGGCCUGUGUGCAGGUGGUGCAUGGCUGUCGUCAGCUCGUGUCGUGAGAUGUUGGGUUAAGUCCCGCAACGAGCGCAACCCCCGUGGCGUGUUGCCAGCAUUAAGUUGGGGACUCACGCCAGACUGCCGGUG
rnacentral:misc_RNA from 1 species